UACGUAGGGUGCGAGCGUUGUCCGGAAUUAUUGGGCGUAAAGAGCUCGUAGGCGGUCUGUCGCGUCGGUCGUGAAAACUUGGGGCUUAACCCUGAGCUUGCGGUCGAUACGGGCAUGACUGGAGUUCGGCAGGGGAGACUGGAAUUCCUGGUGUAGCGGUGAAAUGCGCAGAUAUCAGGAGGAACACCUGUGGUGUAGACGGCUUUCUGGACCAUAACUGACGCUGAGACACGAAAGCGUGGGUAGCAAACAGG
rnacentral:rRNA from 1 species